GGGAACGAAGAGAACACAGGUAACACGACUCAGGUACAAACCACAAUGACAGCCCCAGGAACAAAGGAAAGACAAGGGCUUAAGUAGCAAACACAAGACACGCAACGAAGAACAGCUGAGACACAUUAGGGGAGGGACCAGUAAUCAACACAGGAGGGAAACACAGGGAAACACACCAAAACACGACACAGACCAUGACAGUACCCCCCCCUUAAGGGUCGACUCCCAGGCGACCCACGACAAGCCAAAAAAAAGAAAACACGAAGAAAGUCAAACCCAAAUAGGAGGGGAGGGGAGCCAGGAGGAGGGAAUCAAAAAAAAAGAAAAUGGACUGGGGCAGAGCGGAGGGGUGUCAGGCGGGCGGCCAGAAAACUGCCCCAGGGCAUGGCAGGGAGCCUCAGGCGGACGGCCUGGGGGGCAAGCAGAGGCAGAGUGAAGGCGGAACCCUUCAGGAGGCCGGCGGCAAGGACGAUGAGGGCUCAGUCCCUCAGGAGGCCUGCAGCGGCAAAGAAACCCCUCUGAAGGCCGGCAGCGGCGAAGGCGGAACCCUUCAGGAGGCCGGCGAAGGCGAGGUAGAGGGCGGGUCCCCUCAGGAGGAAGGCGAGGUAGAGGGCGGGUCCCCUCUGGAGGAAGGCGAGGUAGAGGGCGGGUCCCCUCUGGAGGAAGGGCAGUUAGAGGGCGGGUCCCCUCUGGAGGAAGGCCAGGUAGAGGGCGGGUCCCCUAUGGAGGAAGGCGAGGUAGAGGGCGGGUCCCCUCUGGAGGAAGUCCAGGUAGAGGGCGGACCCCCUCUGGAAGGCGGGACCCCUCAGGAAGGCAAGGUAGAGGGCUGGUCCCCACUGGAGGAAGGCGAGGUAGAGGGCGGGUCCCCUCUGCAGGAAGGCAAGGUAGAGGGCGUGUCCCCUCUGGAGGAAGAGGGCGUGCCCCUUCCGAAAGGUUUGGAAGACGGGACCCCACUGGAAGGCCUUGAAGAGGGACCCCCCUCGGGGAGGAGUGGAGGGAAGGCCCCCACAGGCAGGAGCGGAGGGCGUGCCCCCUCAGGCAGGAGCGCAGGGCGGACCUCCUCAGGCAGGAGCGCAGGGCGGACCUCAGGCAGGAGCGCAGGGCGGACCUCCUCAGGCAGGAGCGCAGGGCGGAACUCUUCAGGCAGGAGCGCAGGGCGGAACUCCACAGGCA
rnacentral:lncRNA from 1 species